rnacentral:rRNA from 1 species
CAGCCGCCGCGGUAAUGCGAAGGGUGCAAGCGUUAAUCGGAAUUACUGGGCGUAAAGCGUGCGCAGGCGGUUGUGUAAGACAGGUGUGAAAUCCCCGGGCUCAACCUGGGAAUGGCAGUGGAUACUGGCUCGCUAGAGUGUGUCAGAGGAUGGUGGAAUUCCCGGUGUAGCGGUGAAAUGCGUAGAGAUCGGGAGGAACAUCAGUGGCGAAGGCGGCCAUCUGGGACAACACUGACGCUGAGGCACGAAAGCGUGGGGAGCAAACAGGAUUAGAUACCCCCGUAGUCCCUGUCUCUUAUAC